CCUACGGGGUGCAGCAGUGGGGAAUAUUGGUCAAUGGACGAGAGCCUGAACCAGCCACGCCGCGUGAAGGAUGACUGCUCUCUGGGUUGUAAACUUCUUUUAUAUGGGAAUAACAUGUUCCACGUGUGGGAUUUUGUAUGUACCAUAUGAAUAAGGAUCGGCUAACUCCGGGCCAGCAGCCGCGGUAAUACGGAGGAUCCGAGCGUUAUACGGAUUUAGUGGGUUUAAAGGGAGUGUAGGUGGAGUGCUAAGUCAGUUGUGAAAGUUUGCGGCUCAACCGUAAAAUUGCAGUUGAAACUGGCAGUCUUGAGUACAGUAGAGGUGGGCGGAAUUCGUGGUGUAGCGGUGAAAUGCUUAGAUAUCACGAAGAACUCCGAUUGCGAAGGCAGUUCACUGGACUGCAACUGACACUGAGGCUCGAAAGUGUGGGUAUCAAACAGGAUUAGAUACCCCUGUAGUC
rnacentral:rRNA from 1 species